GUGGGGAAUCUUGGACAAUGGGGGCAACCCUGAUCCAGCCAUGCCGCGUGAGUGAUGAAGGCCUUCGGGUUGUAAAGCUCUUUCAGUCGCGAUGAUAAUGACGGUAGCGACAGAAGAAGCCCCGGCUAACUCCGUGCCAGCAGCCGCGGUAAUACGGAGGGGGCUAGCGUUGUUCGGAAUUACUGGGCGUAAAGGGUGCGUAGGCGGACCCGCAAGUCAGGGGUGAAAUCCCGGGGCUCAACCCCGGAACUGCCCUUGAAACUGCGGGUCUCGAGGUCGAGAGAGGUGAGUGGAAUUCCGAGUGUAGAGGUGAAAUUCGUAGAUAUUCGGAGGAACACCAGUGGCGAAGGCGGCUCACUGGCUCGACACUGACGCUGAGGCACGAAAGCGUGGGGAGCAA
rnacentral:rRNA from 1 species